GUAGGGAAUAUUGCGCAAUGGGGGAAACCCUGACGCAGCGACGCCGCGUGAGUGAUGAAGGCCUUCGGGUCGUAAAGCUCUGUUGCAGGGGAAUAAAAAAAUGAAGGUACCCUGUGAGGAAGGAUCGGCUAACUUCGUGCCAGCAGCCGUGGUAAGACGAGGGAUCCUAGCGUUGCUCGGAAUCAUUGGGCGUAAAGAGGGCGUAGGUGGCUUGGUAAGUCAGGUGUGAAAGCCCAGGGCUCAACACUGGAAGUUCAUUUGAUACUGCUGAGCUUGAGUGUCGGAGAGGUUACCGGAAUACCUGGUGUAGUGGUGAAAUACGUAGAUAUCAGGUGGAACACCGGAGGCGAAGGCGGGUAACUGGACGAACACUGACACUGAGGCCCGAAAGCGUGGGGAUCAAACAGGAUUAGAUACCCGGGUAGUCC
rnacentral:rRNA from 1 species